rnacentral:lncRNA from 1 species
AUGACUCUUAAGGAGCAUGCUGCCUUCAAGCAUCUGUUUAACAAAGCACAUCUUGCACCGCCCUUAAUCCAUUCAACCCUGAGUGGAUACAGCACAUGUUUCAGAGAGCACAGGGUUGGGGGUAAGGUCACCGAUCAACAGGAUCCCAAGGCAGAAGAAUUUUUCUUAGUACAGAACAAAAUGAAAAGUCUCCCAUGUCUACCUCUUUCUACACAGACACGGCAACCAUCCGAUUUCUCAAUCUUUUCCCCACCCUUCCCCCCUUUCUAUUCCACAAAACCGCCAUUGUCAUCAUGGCCCGUUCUCAAUGAGCUGUUGGGUACACCUCCCAGACGGGGUGGUGGCUGGGCAGAGGGGCUCCUCACUUCCCAGUAG